UCAACAGAGUAAAACCAAUCCACCAUCCUACAACUUCAUAAUACCAAUGUUCCAGGUUAAAAAAAAAUUCUAAUAUUUCCAGAAUUUCUGGUUUUCCAAAGCCCUAUUUGUUGUUUCCAUUCAGUAAGUGUUUCAUACAAACGGAAGUCUGCUUGCUCCCGCUGCUGCCACAGUUCGCCGUUCAAACCUAAGUGCUAUCUUUUUAUCUGUGUUCUUCUAAUUGUUUUACAGCUUUCUUUAUUCCUUCUCCAACACAUUUAGUAGUCUUAUCAAACUUACAAAGCGCCCACUCUCUGUUUCAUCGGUUCACGUUCAGAGAGCUAGCUGCUAAAUUAGCAAAGCUAAGCUAGUCCCACUCCAAAGCGACUGCGCGCCGAAGACAACAAGAACUUGAAUAGGUGAAAGAAACAACGAGGGUCCAAUAUGCUCCAUUUCAGCCCCCUCGAUCCACCACUCUGAGCUCAGCUGUUCCAUCACCACCUCCCCUGAAGUGCACGCUCCUGGUUUAUUGACGUCAUCUGUGUCGUACUCCACAUCAAUCGCCAUCCCUCCACUAUGUGACCUUACAGGACGUACUAAUUGGCUGAAUGGGGGCUUCCCCUGCAGACGGCACCUCGGACAGCAGGGCCGGUGUGCUGGGGGUGCUGACAGCCCGGGCACGUGAGACGGGAGAACUCCUUGAUGGAGGUGGGACAGGCGGUACAGGUUGUCGACCCACCAGCGCCUGCCCCCCAUCUGGGAGAGACGUAUUGAACAGCUAAACCAGUGGGGCGCCAAAACAGGACAAAGAAGGCCGACGUCUUGGUUUCGCUUCCAAGUUGUUGGCCGUGGGGAGCAAGGCGGCAGCGGGCCGUCUCGCAGGUCUCUUCCCAGCAAUAGAGUCAACCAGCAGGCUCAGAGAGACCACCAUGCCUGAACAAUGUCGAGGGGGUCCUUGAAUCCACAAUUUGCCUGUGAAUUUCUCUCCCAAAAAUCCCUUAAUCGUAGCCUCUGCCAUACAUAAGGACGUUUCCUUGACCAGUUGUAAUCACCUCCAAAAUCAUGGAAUUUCAAAACGUCAAUCUUCCUCAAAGUGGAGUCUUGCAGGACGAAAUGAUAUGAGAAUUACGGCUCAUGACACAAAACACCCUUUAAUGGAAACACUUUCAAGUCGUAAAUGUAUUUUGUCAAAAUUUUUGAAAUAUUGCUUUUACUUUGCAGAAAAAAAAUGCAAUUACCAUUAGAUAGAUAGAUAGAUAGAUAGAUAGAUAGAUAGAUAGAUAGAUAGAUAGAUAGAUAGAUAGAUAGAUAGAUAGAUAGAUAGAUAGAUAGAACUUUAUUGAUUCCUUCAGGAGAGUUCCUUCAGAAAAAUAAAAAAAAGAAUCUCUAGAAAUGCGCAAAACCUAAAUAUCGUAAUAAGAAACUGUCACGCCUGUAAGAUUAUGUUUUGGUUUUUGCCAUGUUUGGGCAAGUUAUGUUUAGUUUUUUGGACAUUUAGUUCUGUCUUGGCACUUCCUGGUUUGUUUUCGUCUCCAUGACAACUCAUUAGUUUUUCACCUGUCAUGUCACGCCCCUGUCCUCAGUUUUCACACCUGCUUGAAAUUAUCAUUGGUAUUAUUUAAACCGGUAGUUGCCAAGUGUUCAGUCUGGCAUUUUCACACACCCUACCCAUGUUGUUCCUACCUUCAUGCCUUUGUCCACAGUUCCUUAUCAUGUAAGUUUUUGUUUAUAGUUCAUAGUCAAUUGCCUUUGUGCUAAGUCUUUUGUUUAUGUCCAUUAAUCAUGCCAUCGAGCAAAUGUUUUUGUUUCCCGUUUGUGUUUCAUAGCCUUGAUUAUUAUCCGCCAUUGAGCGCGUCCUUGUUUUCCUUGUUUUGUGUUACAGUGUAUAAAUAAAUUUAUAGAUGUACUCACAUUCACGCCUCGCUCGUGCAAACUUCCCUCUGCGUCGGAGAAACAACGUCAAUCCAAGCCCAAGUUUGACAGAAGAUGCCAGCAACAGAAGUUUCUUCGCAGAAAAUUUGCACGAGGAAUCCCUCUCCAGCUACGAAAAAACAGGAAAUCUUCCUUGGGCUCGUCGCCGACGCUCAGCCAUGGGCGUAUGAGGACGAAGACGAAGAGGAGUUGUCAGACGAGGAUGUCUCUCCCGGCGC